GAUGAACGCUGGCGGCGUGCCUAAUACAUGCAAGUCGAGCGAACGGACGAGAAGCUUGCUUCUCUGAUGUUAGCGGCGGACGGGUGAGUAACACGUGGAUAACCUACCUAUAAGACUGGGAUAACUUCGGGAAACCGGAGCUAAUACCGGAUGAUAUUUUGAACCGCAUGGUUCAAAAGUGAAAGACGGUCUUGCUGUCACUUAUAGAUGGAUCCGCGCUGCAUUAGCUAGUUGGUAAGGUAACGGCUUACCAAGGCAACGAUGCAUAGCCGACCUGAGAGGGUGAUCGGCCACACUGGAACUGAGACACGGUCCAGACUCCUACGGGAGGCAGCAGUAGGGAAUCUUCCGCAAUGGGCGAAAGCCUGACGGAGCAACGCCGCGUGAGUUAUGAAGGUCUUCGGAUCGUAAAACUCUGUUAUUAGGGAAGAACAUAUGUGUAAGUAACUGUGCACAUCUUGACGGUACCUAAUCAGAAAGCCACGGCUAACUACGUG
rnacentral:rRNA from 1 species